UACAGAGGUCCCGAGCGUUUGUUCGGGAUUCACUGGGCGUAAAAGGGUGCGUUAGGUGGUAGGAGGUAAGUCGGAUGUGAAAUCUCCGAGCUCAACUCGGAAAUGGCAUUGGAAACUACCUUGCUCGAGGGGUUGGAGGGGGGACUGGAAUACUUGGUGUAGCAGUGAAAUGCGUAGAUAUCAAGUGGAACACCAGUAGGCGAAGGCGAGUCCCUGGACCUGUACUGACGCUCAUGCACGAAAGCGUGGGGGAGCAAACAGG
rnacentral:rRNA from 1 species